rnacentral:rRNA from 1 species
ACCCCGUAGUCCAGGGUGUAAACGCUGCCGACUUGGUGUGGAGGCCCUCGGGGCAUCAGUGCCGGAGAGAAGUGUAAGUCGGCUACUUGGGGAGUACGUCCGCAAGGAUGAAACUUAAAGGAAUUGGCAGGGGAGCACCGCAACGGGAGGAGCGUGCGGUUUAAUUGGAUUCAACACCGGAAAACUCACCAAGGGCGACUAUCACAUGAAAGCCAGGCUAACGACCUUGCUUGAUUCUUAGAGAGGUGGUGCAUGGCCGUCGUCAGUUCGUACCGUAAGGCGUUCUCUUAAGUGAGAUAACGAACGAGACCCUCAUCUAUAAUUGCUACUUCACCCUCCGGGGUGGAGGCGCGGUUGUGCGAGACCGCUGGCGCUAAGUCAGAGGAAGGAGAGGUCAACGGUAGGUCAGUAUGCCCCGAAUCUCUUGGAGCUACACGCGCGCUACAAAGGGCGGGACAAUGGGCUACGACGCCGAAAGGCGAAGUCAAUCUCGAAACCCGUCCGUAGUUCGGACUGAGGCUUGUAACUCAGCCUCAUGAAGCUGGAUUCCGUAGUAAUCGCGAAUCAAAAACUCGCGGUGAAUAUGCU